rnacentral:rRNA from 1 species
AGAGUUUGAUCAUGGCUCAGAUUGAACGCUGGCGGCAUGCCUUACACAUGCAAGUCGAACGGUAACAGGUCUUCGGAUGCUGACGAGUGGCGAACGGGUGAGUAAUACAUCGGAACGUGCCCGAUCGUGGGGGAUAACGGAGCGAAAGCUGUGCUAAUACCGCAUACGAUCUACGGAUGAAAGCAGGGGAUCGCAAGACCUUGCGCGAAUGGAGCGGCCGAUGGCAGAUUAGGUAGUUGGUGAGGUAAAGGCUCACCAAGCCUUCGAUCUGUAGCUGGUCUGAGAGGACGACCAGCCACACUGGGACUGAGACACGGCCCAGACUCCUACGGGAGGCAGCAGUGGGGAAUUUUGGACAAUGGGCGCAAGCCUGAUCCAGCCAUGCCGCGUGCAGGAUGAAGGCCUUCGGGUUGUAAACUGCUUUUGUACGGAACGAAACGGCCUUUUCUAAUAAAGAGGGCUAAUGACGGUACCGUAAGAAUAAGCACCGGCUAACUACG